rnacentral:rRNA from 1 species
AUGUGGGGCCGACUUGGAUUGACAAAUUUCAUCAACACCGCAACAAAUGUUGAUAGAUCUGGGUCGGUUAUUAUGGAGUAUAUCUUGUCUAUUGAUCAAACGCCACUACCUCUAAUGCCGACAUUGGAGAUUAAACAGGUCGUAGUGGUGGGAUGUUGGUACCUCUGGUGGACACGCCGCCUGAUAACACAUAAUGAGAGUUGCCUGCCGAUGGUAAGAUGGCCUUUGUCGGUCUUGGCAAUUACAAGCAACUAUCAACGAGCCAUGGCGAAAAUAGUUGUGACAGAAGAGGAAAGAUGGUUGAGGCCAGACCCAAAGUUCAUCAAACUUAAUGUGGACGCGGCCUUUUUUGUGGAGCAAGGAGUUGGAGCUACGGCAGCAAUUAUUAGGGAUGAACGAGGUAUUUUCCUUGCAGCUAAAUGUAAGUUUAUCCCAUAUGCAGCGGACGCAAUGACAUCAGAGGCAAUGGCGAUGAGAGACGGACUGAACUUGGCAAAUAGCCUAGGGUUCCAGCGAGUUAAAGCGGAAUCCGACUCUCUAACGGUGAUCAACUGCUGCUCCGGUCAAAGUACUUGGUGGGACGCGGCGGCAGCGAUAUUCGUGGAAUGUGUGGACAUCUCUACCUUGAUUGGGAAGCUAUACAUGAUGGCCUUCCCUAAAAAAACUAGUGGACAACACAUCCAACAAGGCUCUGCAGUGCGACUAGUACAACGAGUCCUCGAGCUCCUUCACACCACAUCUGUCUAUAGUACGUACUGUACGUACGUACGUAGUGCCACCAUCAAGCCUUCACACCAGGCAGGUCGCACAGCCGGAGGAAACUUUACUCCGGCUCGCAACCGGGCGGCGGGCGGGCGGGCGGUUGCGAGGUUAGUUAUGGAAGGAGUGCGAAAGGGAGAGGGUAACACGGAGGGACUAAUCCUAGCGGGAGAGGUGGCGUGGCAAGCAACCCGCCCCACGCUCUCCGCGCAGCUCCUCCUCGACCACGGCACAAAAACCUACUCUGAUCAAGACUCGGACCGCUUCCCUCCCCCCGACUCGGAAACCACCUCCUCCCUCCUCCAUGCCUAUAUAACCCGGACGCACUCCGAGCCAGGCACGACACACACAGCCGCGGGUUUUGCUCGCACACACCACGAACCUCACCUCCCUCGAUCCAUCGAGUUCUUGCCCUGA